rnacentral:lncRNA from 1 species
GGCGUCGCUACGCUUCACCUGCUUGUAGAACUAACCGCCAUUCCAAGUCGUUCACCCCUCUGCAAUUCGACUACUACAGUAGAUGCUUCGUAGUUGGAUUAUGGAUGCAAGCAGAGAUGACAUGGAGGAAGAGGAGGAGAGUGACGAGUUUCUGCUGCUUGAAGAAUACUGCGCUCGGCAGGAGAAGCUCAGGUUACGUCGUUCUGGCGUUGGCGUAGGCAAACCAUACCUACAAUCUGGCUGGCAUUCAAAAGGCACAGGCUUGAAACGAUCAUCAAUUUCAUCAGACUCAGUGCCGAUUGCAGAAGGUGAUUUGACUGUUGAUGACUCUAGUUCAGAGCCCCAACAAGAUUUGGUGGAGAAACUCGUGGUGUUGUUGAAAAAAGAAGGAGACGACAUGAAUCAGAAGGUGAGUGUGUUUUUUAUAUGUAUAUGUUUGUGCAAAUUGUCUGUUCUCACAUGUAAGGUUAGGUUACCUUUAUUAUCCCAGAGGGGCAAUUUGCUGCACAGCCAGCAGUAAUACAAACAUCAAGAAUCGACACACAAACAACUCACACAAACAAAAUGGAAUGACAUGAUGUUAAUCAGAAAGCCCUUCUCCCUUCUCCUCAACUCGUGGCCUCUCCUUCUCUUCUCACCGCUCCUCUGCUCUCUCUGUCCGGCUGCAGAUCCAGCAGAACGAGGUGCUGCAGCAGCAACUCCAGGGAGCCUUCAGCUACUCCCUGUUUCAGAGGUUGAUGGCCGCACUGCAGGGGGCCCGCCCUGUGGGCUCAGCGGCCCCGGGCGGCCCCCCUGCCCCCCCGCCCCCCCCCGCCCCCCCCGGCCCCCCCGGCCUCUGAAGCGAGGCUGCGGAAGGAGCAGAUCGCCUGGGUCUUUGAGGUGACGGACAGGCUGUCGACCAUCGACCAGAUCCCCAAGAGGAGAGCGCUGAGCUUCGGCAGUCGCUUCCUCCGCCAGAACCACUCCGACUGGGUGCAGCAGCACGGAGGCUGGGUGAGAAUAAGAAUAAAGAAUAGACGAAUAGACUCCUCCAUUAAACGGGCUUGAAGGAAGGAACGUCAUUCU